CCUACGGGAGGCAGCAGUGGGGGAUAUUGCACAAUGGGGGGAACCCUGAUGCAGCGACGCCGCGUGGGUGAAGAAGCGCCUCGGCGCGUAAAGCCCUGUCAGCAGGGAAGAAAAUGACGGUACCUGAAGAAGAAGCCCCGGCUAACUACGUGCCAGCAGCCGCGGUAAUACGUAGGGGGCAAGCGUUAUCCGGGUUUACUGGGUGUAAAGGGGGCGCAGACGGCGAUGCAAGCCAGGAGUGAAAGCCCGGGGGCCAACCCCGGGACUGCUCUUGGAACUGCGUGGCUGGAGUGCAGGAGGGGCAGGCGGAAUGCCUGGUGUAGCGGUGAAAUGCGUAGAUAUCAGGAGGAACACCGGUGGCGAAGGCGGCCUGCUGGACUGCAACUGACGUUGAGGCCCGAAAGCGUGGGGAGCAAACAGGAUUAGAUACCCCAGUAGUC
rnacentral:rRNA from 1 species